GAGCACCUGGUGUCUGCAGACCCCUGUGUUUUAACCAGUGAACUCCAGGAAUGUCACUGACAGCAUGACCUUUGCGACCAAAUCCAGUAACCAGAACCUCAUCACGUUCCUCAGUAAAAUUCAAACAACCAUCA